rnacentral:rRNA from 1 species
CCCUGCCCUUUGUACACACCGCCCGUCGCUACUACCGAUCGACAUGCUUUUUGAGGCGUUCGGAGAGCCUAUAAGGAGCUGGCAACAGCACUUUACUGGUUCAAAGUUCUACGAAAAUGGUUUGUUAGAGGAAG